rnacentral:rRNA from 1 species
UCUCCUGGAAACGGGUGGUAAUACCGGAUGCUCCGCUCCAUCGCAUGGUGGGGUGGGAAAUGCUUUUGCGGCAUGGGAUGGGGUCGCGUCCUAUCAGCUUGUUGGCGGGGUGAUGGCCCACCAAGGCGUUGACGGGUAGCCGGCCUGAGAGGGUGACCGGCCACAUUGGGACUGAGAUACGGCCCAGACUCCUACGGGAGGCAGCAGUGGGGAAUAUUGCACAAUGGGCGCAAGCCUGAUGCAGCGACGCCGCGUGCGGGAUGGAGGCCUUCGGGUUGUAAACCGCUUUUGUUCAAGGGCAAGGCACGGUUUCGGCCGUGUUGAGUGGAUUGUUCGAAUAAGCACCGGCUAACUACGUGCCAGCAGCCGCGGUAAUACGUAGGGUGCGAGCGUUAUCCGGAUUUAUUGGGCGUAAAGGGCUCGUAGGCGGUUCGUCGCGUCCGGUGUGAAAGUCCAUCGCCUAACGGUGGAUCUGCGCCGGGUACGGGCGGGCUGGAGUGCGGUAGGGGAGACUGGAAUUCCCGGUGUAACGGUGGAAUGUGUAGAUAUCGGGAAGAACACCA